ensembl:lncRNA LAMTOR5-AS1 LAMTOR5 and SLC16A4 antisense RNA 1
CCAUGGCGGAACCGGCCGGCACGGAUUAUUCCCCUCUCGGGAGAGGUCUGCAGCCGGGCCUCAGUGCUUCAGUUCGUGGCCUGGCAUUUUGUGAAGAGUGUCUUCAUCUCUGCAUCCCUAGUGCAACAGAGCAUGACAAAAAUUCAACAAAUAUUUAUUGAAGAGUCUUGAUGUCUUUUGGGAAAGGAACUCUAUGGUUACCUUUACUCUAAGUUAAAAACAACAACAACAACAACAAAAACACAAAACCCUGAGGCUCAGAAGAUAAAUAUUUGCUGAAGAUCACUGUGCUUAUUAGAUGGGUGUUACUGAUUCUUACCUCAGAGAAGAGAAUGUCAUGGAGACAAAAUGACCUGCUUAGAGUUCUGCACCCCCCAGCAUGGAGAGCAGAGCGCAAAGAUUUCUUCCGGACUCCCACAUUCCCCUUGGAAUCCAAGAACUGGUCUACUGUCACAACACUUUAGUACCCUCUUCUCCCAAGGAGGCAGCAGAAACUGGGGUAAUCACAACGGUCAACAGCAGCAAAGGCAGCACUUUCUGAUUUACUUGACUGCUAUGGAUGCCACCUCUCUCCACGCCUCAGUUUAAUAUCUGUAAGUUUGGUCAGUAUCUCAUUCAAGAACAUUGCAUUUACUCUGGUACUUAAAGAUGAAAAAUCAACAUUUACAAAGCAGAUCCAUUGUCAACCUAAAUAACAAACAAAGAGAGUCUCUAUAAAAGAAAAGAAUAUUUAUUUGGGAAUAGAGCAUUGCAUAGGAAUAUGCCUGCCUUAGUAAUGCAUGUAUUCAGGGAGGUAGAGGAAGACAAAGGUUUUUAACAGAAAAAAUGUGGAGAAUUACAUAAUUGUUUUGAAAUAAUUAUCCUUGGCUAUAAAGAUCAAUAACAAGGGUGAUGCGAGUC